rnacentral:lncRNA from 1 species
CUGGCAUAAACUGGAGUAGAGACUGUUUUGGACACUGGGAUGUUUUAUAAUGUGGGGAUUUAGUGGGGGUGUGGUGGAAAGAAUCCGUGACAAAGGGUCAGGAGAAGCAGUUGGAAAUUUGAUUUUUCACUGAUGAUGCAUCUUGGAUAAAUGACAACUCAGCAGGAGUUAUUUGAGUUGGCCAGAGUUCAGCAGGCUUUUGACCUCCAGUGUUCUACGGAUUGACUGAAUGAAAAAUACCGUGGCGAACCAUGAGAAAUAACGAAAAGCCCUACAUACCCACCACCAUUCUGCAGCAAAACGGAGGGGUUUGGAACGACUGGAAAUACUUCCACCCCAGGAAUUUCCAGGACAUCUGAUUUUCUUUUGGCUUGACAUAGCCUCUUGGCUGCCGAGCUCCAUCCAGAUCCCAGCAGCCACC